UAUCACAGAACGAGAUACACGAGGAAAAUUAGAAAAACCGAUGAAAAAACUUUCCAAACAGAAAAAUGCAAAGACAAGAAAACAAAAUGAAAACAAAAACAACCCAGAAACUCUGGCUCUUUACCUAGUCAAGAAUCGAAACAGAGGACAAACCCUUACAUGCAAGAAAACAUGCAAAUACAUAAAGAAAAAAUAUUAAGAACCUAAAAGCAAGCAAAACAGCGUCAGAGAGAUGUACGAAAAGGAGAAAAUUAAAUAAACUUAAUGAAACCACCUUGAGGGUCACAUAAGCUACCAAGCUAACCCCAAGAAAACGACGUCAAAAACAUGCAAAACCAUGCAAAACAAUUAAAAACCACGUGAAAAAACCCAAACCCCAACAGGUAAAAAAAGAAAAGUAAAAAAAAGUAAAAGAAAACAUCGAGAACACCACAAG
rnacentral:lncRNA from 1 species